rnacentral:snRNA from 1 species
GACACAUAUACUAAAAUUGGAAUGAUACAGAGAACAUCAGAAUGGCCCUUGCACAAGGAUAGCAUGCAAAUUCACGAAGCAUUCCACAUUUUU